rnacentral:rRNA from 1 species
GACAGUUUGGUCCCUAUCUGCCGUGGGCGUCGAAAUUUGAGAGGAGUUGACCCUAGUACGAGAGGACCGGGUUGAACAUACCUCUGGUGUACCUGUCGUGGCGCCAGCCGCGCAGCAGGGUAGCUAUGUAUGGACGGGAUAACCGCUGAAAGCAUCUAAGCGGGAAGCCUCCCUCAAGAUAAGAUUUCUUAGAGCCGUGGAAGACCACCACGUUGAUAGAUCGGAUGUAGAAGCGCGGUAACGCGUGGAGCUAACCGAUACUAAUUGCUCUAUUCGCGCUUGAA